rnacentral:rRNA from 1 species
GAUGAACGCUGGCGGCGUGCCUAAUACAUGCAAGUCGAGCGAACAGACGAGGAGCUUGCUCCUUUGACGUUAGCGGCGGACGGGUGAGUAACACGUAGGUAACCUACCUAUAAGACUGGGAUAACUUCGGGAAACCGGAGCUAAUACCGGAUAAUAUUUCGAACCGCAUGGUUCGAUAGUGAAAGAUGGCUUUGCUAUCACUUAUAGAUGGACCUGCGCCGUAUUAGCUAGUUGGUAAGGUAACGGCUUACCAAGGCAACGAUACGUAGCCGACCUGAGAGGGGUAUAGGCCAACAGGGAAUUGAGACGCGUCCCAAACCCCCAGGGGAGGACAGAGUGGGAAUUUUUCCGAAGAGGGAGAAAGCUGGCCGGGGCAACGCGCGGUGGGUGAAGAAGGUUUUCGAAUCGUAAAACCUUUUUUUUAGGGAAGAAAAAACGUGGAAGUAACGGGGCACCUUUGGAGGGUACCAAUGCAGAAAGCCCCGGCAAAUUACGU